ensembl:snoRNA predicted gene, 24944
ACCUCUGUUUCCCCUUCCCAUAGACAGCGCUGCCGGUCAUGAUGGUGACAAAGACUGAAGAGUACAUCAAAGCUGGCCUCACACCUGUGUGGUCUGGUCGAAAGCAUGUGGGCUAGAUCCAAAUAGGC